UCUAAUCACAUCCGUACGGUUCAGAUUAGUCACUAAAACACGUUUGGUCUAAAACAGGUCUUUAGCCACUCCACGUUUAUCCUCCAAACAAAACUGCUACCUGUCCCGAACAGACGUUGUUCCUCGUGGCCGACCCCACGACUCCCUCCCCGUCCUCGCUAUGCCACAUCGCCUCCCUCCCCGCUGCCGCUACGACAUGGGGUUUGAUAUAUCGAGAUCAAGAGGAAGCGGGUGACCCCUGGAGAGAGCAGUCGGGCGGUGGUGGCGCCUCGGGAGGACGAGCGCGACGGCGGUUUGAGGAAGCUCGUGUCUUUUUACACCACCCCUGACCCCUCCCCUACACGCACCCGCAGCGUAUCCCCAUCGCUCCGGGAGGUCGACGACGGGCUCCUCCGGCAAGCACGGGGCGUUGAUGGUCUCUUUCGGGCAUGGUCGGAUCUGCGUGUCGGCAGCUGCAGGAAGGCAAGGAUCUGGCCGUGCUCCACGACCACCACAACCAAGGCAGGGAGCGCUGCUCCGACCUCCUCUCUUAUGGCUUCAAGUCUGACGAUGCCCACGACCAGGCGUGCUCCCCUCCAAGGUAUGAGGAACAUUGUAUACAUAUUGAACAGUUUUUGUGACGGAAUUGUAGAACUUAGUAGUAUAUCUGUAUUUGCAAAUUCUGUAUAUCAAUGUAGUGAAUUAGUUUGCCAAAAAAAGUAGUGAAUUUGAUGUACCAGACUGUUGUCAGUACAAUUCAAACUGACUGCAUUUUGAUCCCUAAGAUAUACAUAUCCUUUAGUUCAGAAAAAAAAAACAGUAACACAAGGUCAAUUCCACUCACCGGCUACCAUCUGUCUUGGAUUUUGAUUUUGAUUUUUCCUAGAGAUUUCAGGAUAGAAAGGCA
rnacentral:lncRNA from 1 species